rnacentral:lncRNA from 1 species
CAACCUUCAUAUCAAUUUUCACAACAUCUUUUGCACCUCAUCAUCCCUUUUAGUGUAGACACCCUCUACUUAAGCAAUUUACCUGAGUUGAUGUAUAAUAUAUCCAAAGAAAGAACUAGCUAAAAUAAGACUUACAAGUUGUUGAAACAAAAAAGGUAUUUUAUUGCUCAAAAAGGGAUCGAAAUGGAAUAUAAUCCUACAGUUUUAUUAUCUUGGCUAGAUGGUUCACUAUUCAUCAAUGGCCUAUGAUCACUUCUCAGCUGACUAUUUAAAACCCUAAUGGAAUGCUUUAGGUAAGU